rnacentral:rRNA from 1 species
UGCAGUCGAACGGAUUUGAGGGGCUUGCUCCUCAAGUUAGUGGCGCACGGGUGAGUAACGCGUAGAUAAUCUGCCUGAUGAUCCGGGAUAACACUUCGAAAGGGGUGCUAAUACCGGAUAAGCCCACGGGGUCUUUGGAUUCUGCGGGAAAAGGGGGGGACCUUCGGGCCUUCUGUCAUCAGAUGAGUCUGCGUACCAUUAGCUAGUUGGUAGGGUAAUGGCCUACCAAGGCUACGAUGGUUAGCUGGUUUGAGAGAAUGAUCAGCCACACUGGAACUGAGACACGGUCCAGACUCCUACGGGAGGCAGCAGUGGGGAAUUUUGCGCAAUGGGCGAAAGCCUGACGCAGCAACGCCGCGUGAGUGAUGAAGGCUUUCGGGUCGUAAAGCUCUGUCGAGGGGAAAGAAGUGUAUUGUGGCUAAUAUCCACGAUACUUGACGGUACCCCUAAAGGAAGCACCGGCUAACUCCGUGCCAGCAGCCGCGGUAAUACGGGGGGUGCAAGCGUUGUUCGGAAUUAUUGGGCGUAAAGAGCGUGUAGGCGGUUUGUUAAGUCUGAUGUGAAAGCCCUGGGCUCAACCCAGGAAGUGCAUUGGAAACUGGCAGACUUGAAUACGGGAGAGGGCAGUGGAAUUCCUAGUGUAGGAGUGAAAUCCGUAGAUAUUAGGAGGAACACCGGUGGCGAAGGCGGCUGCCUGGACCGAUAUUGACGCUGAGACGCGAAAGCGUGGGUAGCAAACAGGAUUAGAUACCCUGGUAGUCCACGCCGUAAACGAUGAGAACUAGGUGUUGCGGGUAUUGACCCCUGCAGUGCCGCAGCUAACGCAUUAAGUCUCC